rnacentral:tRNA from 1 species
GAAAAUAAAGUAUAUGUGUAUUUUUUAUUUACAAUAAAAGGGUCUAAUUUUAGUAUUUUCA